rnacentral:lncRNA from 1 species
UGGGCCUCUCCCAAACUUUUACAGCCUCUUGAAUUGCUCACUCCUUCCUGCAGGCAGAGGACAUGCUCUGGACUAAGCAGGAAACUGAUACGGCCCACCUGUAUCCUGCUUUUCACAUCGUUCAGGGAUGGCAAAGGAACAAACUACAUCAUGGCCCUUAUGCAUACAGAAAUUCCCAUGGUAUGUACAUAGAAAUGGAGUUCACCCUUUCCUGGAACAUAAAAUUAAGAAACAUUAUCCAGAAUUAA